UACGUAGAAGACUAGUGUUAUUCAUCUUUACUGGGCGUAAAGGGCGCGUAGGCGGUCAGCACAAGUCAGUUGUGAAAUCUCCGGGCUUAACCCGGAAAGGUCAACUGAUACUGUGCGACUAGAGUGCGGAAGGGGCAACUGGAAUUCUCGGUGUAGCGGUGAAAUGCGUAGAUAUCGAGAGGAACACCUGCGGCGAAGGCGGGUUGCUGGGCCGACACUGACGCUGAUGCGCGAAAGCCAGGGGAGCGAACGGG
rnacentral:rRNA from 1 species